AACAUGCGAUAGUCUAAGUUUAUAUAAAUGAUAAAGAUAAUCAGAAAGGAGAGAUGACCCAACUCCUGACAUGCCAAGCCUAUUAAGUCAAUGGGUGACCUGAAAAGCAGUCAACAAACGAAAUGAGUAUAACUCAGUGUGUAACCAACGUACAUAAUCAAAUCAUAAGUAUGUAUAAAAUAUAUAGGUGUUCAUUUUCUCUUUAUUUAGACAUUUCUUAGUUUUGAAUACGAAUUCAGAACUGAGGAUAUUUGCUAUAGUUACAGAACAAAGUAGAUACGGAUGUAUAACAGAUUAGAUACAUAUGCAGUUUCCUACCCCUAUCUGCUAUACACCAUCUUCGACCAUUCCAACACACCAUAUAUAGUAUUAAAUACCCAUCCAGCCCUACACAACAUAUAGUGUCGGUAUAAUACUUUUCAGAAUAAAUACAGACUAGCUGUCAAAUCAGUAUGCGAUAAAUCGAUAGAAUCAUAUACAGAUUUGUAGCUCAACCACUCAAUUCGGCAGAUCAUUAAACUACUAGCACUUCCUUCUUUAUAUCAUUCCCACCCAAUGUAGAUAUAUAUUAUAGGUGUCAGAUAUUAAGGAUGUACAUAUAGUUAUCCAAAUACAAUUCAUAAUUAAAUAAUACAGAUCAUUCAACAGUUAUCACAUUAAUAAUACGUACAGAUAAUCGAUUAGUCAACCUCAAAAUAUUGGAUAUCAAAUUAUACAAUCUAAUUCAGAUCAGACGGAUGCUAUGGAAGGCCUGAGUUUGAUGCGAAUAACGUUUACGGCCCUAGGAAAAAUUUCAGUAUUUUGGCCCAUACGCCUGUGUGGGUUCACACGGCCUAGGUGUUUGGCCUGUGUGGCCUACAGGGCCGAGGAUACGUCAGAAUAACCCUCUUAAUGCCACACACGGUCUAUUGCAUGGCCUGGCACAUGGCUGUGUGGCUUAAAGCAGUGAAUUACAUGAUCUGUCACACGGCUAGGAGCACAUCCGUGUGACUCCAAUUUCAGAAUAACUCUCACGUGGCCUAAGCACACACCUGUGUUUAUGGCUCGUGUGACACUAAUUCACAAACAGUGAGUUACACGGCUUAGAGACAUGUCUGUGUCCUUAUCCCAUGUGAGCCUAAAUCAUAAACACUGAGUUACACGACCUGGACACAUGCUCGUGUCCCUGGCCUGUGUUACCCUAAAUCAUAAAAAGUGAGUUACACGACCUGUCAUACGGUCAUGUGGCGCAAAUAGCCUACCACACGGCCGUAUGAAAUUGACAACCAUGUUUGUCAAUGUUCAAAACUUGUAAAAAAUUGGGUUUUCGUUACACACCUGAUAUAGUUUCGAAGUGGAACGAUGCAGAAGAAUCUCGGGACCUAAAAUGACCAUCCAAUAACUAAUUAAACAACUUCAACGCAAAAGCUUCGUACGAAACUAACUUUUACAAACGAAUCAAUGGCAAUUACUCGAAUUAGCGCAUUAGGAACCACUACAUUCGAUAUCUACGCCUAAAAAGGAAAACCAAGUGAUCACUUAAUAGAUAAUUCAAAUAAAGCAAGCCAAAACCAACUUCAAUAGAAAUGAAUUGAAACAAAUGUUUAAUAAAAACUAUACAACUUACGCAAUGACCCUUCAAAAUGCAAUGAACAACGCAGAAUCCCCAAUUAAACCUGGUAACGGUUUACGAAAAUGAGCAAAAAGAAAAAGAAUGGAAAUGUGAAAUAGAAAGAAACAAGAAAAGAAGAAAAAGAAAGGAAAUGAUAGAAAACAAACUUUUGAAACAACCAAAAACUAAUAGGAUUUUACAAGUAGCAUAAAAAUAUUUCCUUGAUGCACACAUAGAGAUUCGAACACAGGAGUAGAAAGUAGGCAAAAGCUUAAUCAUCGAACCAACAGUCUCAUUCUUGGCACAAAUUUACACAAAAUUAAACUUAAGUCGAGGAUCCAAGGAUAGGGUUAAACUAAAAUAAACAAAAAAAAUCAAGAGGGAGACACGAACCCCCGAUCUCAAACACAUAAACAGAAUACUUAACCACAAAUCUAGAUACUUAAUUAUUCAUAGAAAUUAACAAACAGUUCAAAAAUUCAAGGCGUUACACAGUAUCUUCCAAAUCAGAUCUCUAGGACUUUAAGAACUCUUCCUUAUUAACCUAUAUGGACUAUUAACCAAGAAGGCCCCCGUUAAAGUACAAGCCCAAUUAAUUAUAUUUGUCCCCGCAUCUGGAUGAGAAGAGGGGAUACUCACAAUCCUUCUAAAAACACGAAACAGAUCCAGAUUCCACAUACCUCCCUCUGUCACCAUUCCACUAAGCAAGCAGUCUGAAACAAGAUUAGUAUAAGGGAUAAUAUUAUUCAAUGGCCGCACACUUGGAAUCCAUGAAUCUUUCAACAUUGAAUACUAUUGCCAUCCCCCACAGACCAAACUACAUUAUCACGGAUCAUGGACCAAACCUUAGAGAGAGCUCUCCAAAAAAAAUGAGCAUUUUCCCCUCUCAAUAUUCUCAGGUAACCUCUCUUUCAUACCAUCCCUUAAAUAAAAGUAUUAAUAGGGACAUGGUUCAAAUUUCAUACAUUGUAGUUGCCUACCUAACAUUAAUGAGACAUUUCGUCAAAAUAUAUAUACUAGUUUGUAUUUUCAUGCGAUGCACUGAUUAGUUAUGUAUAUUAAAUUUAUAAUAAUAAUUUUUGUUUAAAUUUUUUAAUGAAUUUCUUUAAAAAAUCAUUAAUAAAUUAAAAAGCUCAUCGAAUUACAAAAUACUUUUAAAAAUAUUUAACUAAUUUAAAAUCGGUUAUAUUAAUGUUAUUCAAUUUUAAAAAUAUUUAAUAUAAAAAUAAUACAAAAAAUCAUGAUUUGAAUAUUAAUAUUAAUACAUUAUAAUUUUAAAUAAUAUUAUUACAAAUUUUUACAUGUUAUUUAUUUAUAAAUAUUGUGUAAUUAAUUUGUUUUAAUGUUAAAAUUGUUAAAAUUUUAUUUUUUGUGAUUGUAUAUUUAUCUUUACUUUACUUUAAUUAAUGAAUGUAACUAACUCUUAUUAUAUUUUAAAAAUAUAAAUAUAAUUUGACAAAAGUUAUUAAUAUGUAUCUUUUUCUUAAAUUAUAUUUUAAGAUUAAUAAUUUAAUAUUUAUUAAUUUUAAUAUUAUAAAAUUAAAAUUUAAUUCAAGUAAGUAAAAUAUUAAAAUAAAAACAUAAUUUAUUUAAAAUCGAGUUAAUAUUUAACAUAUAAAAAAUUAUAAAAAAAUAUUAAAAUAAAAAAUAAUUUAUUUAAAAUCGAAUUAAUAUUUAACAUAUAAAAAGUCAUAAAGAAAAAAUUCAGACAAAAGGCAUGGAAUAACUUAAAAAAACUUAAAAGGCAAAGAAUAAGAGAGCAAUUUAUCCAACUUGUAAAUAAGUGUCUUAAAUAUAGAGUACCAUGUGUCAAAAAAAUUGUAAUAGAAAAAUGCAUAUUAUAACAUCAUAUUGCUAUAUAUAUAUGAUUUGAUUAGUAAAAAAAGUUUUAUAAUUUUUAAAAUUAAAAAAAUAAUUAAAUGCUUAUAUGUGAUCCACAUGGCAAUACACAUGUAUGCCACGUCAGCAAAAUAAAAAAGGUUAAUUUUUUCAUCCAUUUUGAGGUGAUUUGACAAAAAAACACAAGUUUAAGAGCCUAAAAAAGAGAAAAAAUAAAAUACUAAAAUGAUUUUUUUAUUAUAAAAUUUGAGGGCAAACAAAUUAUUAUGCCUUUAUGAUCGUUAACAUUUAUGUAAACACUUAUUUUGAUUGAUACCUGAGCAUAAAAAAUGAGUAUAUAAAAAUAAGAUAUUAGAGUCGAGGAGUGCUGUACGGUUUGUGGGCUUUGCGCAAAAGAUAUUUUACUUGCUAUUAGGGAUUGUUCUAUGGCUAAAGGUGUUUGGUCACAGGUCAUUCCUAUUGACAAACAAAAACAGUUCUUUUAAAGAGAUUUAGAGGAUUGGCUUGAAUCUAAUUUGAGAAAUCGUCAAGUAUUUUUAUGAAGGAGAUCGACUGGCCGUGCUUCUUUAGAGUAGUAGCUUGGAGAAUCUGGAAAAACAAAAAUAUUUUUAUUUUUCAAGGAUCAUCGUGGAGUGUAGAUAUUAUUAAAUACUCGUAUAGUUGGGCUUUACAAUGCAAAUCCAUGCGCAAGGAAGAGCAUACUAAAAAGACGAAGUCACACACAAUUUCAAGUAAAACUGAUAAUUAAAUCUAUUUAUACUCAUAUGGAGCUAUUAAGGUUUACUUUGGUGAUGCUGCCGCAGGAGGUAUUAUCAGGGAUCAUUUGGGGAAUUGGAUUCUUGGUUUCAAUAGACGACUGGGACAAUGUUCGAUCUUUAAUGCUGAGCUUUGGGGUAUUUUAGAUAGCCUGUCUCUUUUCAGAGUAGAAAGUACGGUAAAGUUUUGAUUCAGACAGACAACUUGGAGGCUAUUCAAGAAAUUCAAGCAGCAUCUUCAAAGACAUCACAUUCAGCUCUAAUCAGACGCAUUCAUCAACUUCUAUUGGAAACAGGUCUUUGGGAGUUCGAACAUAUUCCUAAAGAAGAGAACAUAGAAGUAUAUGAUAUCGCUAAACUAGCUUUUAACAAGAAUGCAAGACUGCAGUUGUUUACAGCAUGUCCGCUGAAUAUUUCUAGAUAAUUUUGUUAAUUUCUUCUGUUUAUUUUACAUAAAAAACAUUAAUGAGACACUUCAUUAUAUAUAUUAGUUUGUAUUCUCGUGUGAUGCACAGGUUAAUUGUGUAUAUUAAAAUUCAUAAUAUUUUUAUAAUAAUAUUUUUUAAAAUUUUUUAAUAAAUUUUUUAAAAACUCGUUAAUAAAUUGAAAAAGGCAUAUAAUUACAAAAUACUUUUAGAAAUAUUUAACUAAUUUAAAAUCAGUUAUAUUAAUAUUAUUUAACUUUAAAAUAUUUAAUAUUAAAAUAAUACAAAAAUAUCAUCGUUUGAAUAUUAUUAUUAAUUAUUAUGAUUUAAAUAAUACUAUUAAUAAUUUCUUACAUGUUAUUUACUUUAUAUAUAUUGUUUAAUUGUCACGGCCCAAAAAUAUAGGGGUUAAUUGAUAUAAUUAAAUAAGAAAAUGUUUAGGCUUGAUGAUUAGAUAGUUAUUACACUAUCUAGAUAUCCUUGUUUCAAGCCAUUUCUCUUCCAUUUUUUUUUCAUUUUAAUUUAAGCAAACUAGGAUGAACACCACCUUAAAACAAAUAUUUUUGGAAGUAAAAACUUAUCAAGAAUGGGCAAUAGUCCAAAUGGUUUGGCAUUCACUUCUCUCCACCUUUGCAAAUUUUUUUUGAGCCACCCCUUACCCAUUUUCAUUUCAUUUUUUUUGGCAAACUAGGAGAAUUUACCAUACAGCCCCUUAAGGUCUGAAAACCCUAACUAUUUAGUCCAAAAAUUCCCAAUUGGACCUAUAUUAUGAUUUCUCUUCAAACCCUAAUUAGAAUUUCUCUUCUCUCUCCAUAUUUCUUCUCUCUCUAUAUUUCUUCUCAUACUUCUUUUCCAUCAUUUCUUUUCAUCAAAUUUUCUUCAUAUUACUGAAAUUAUUUUACUUUCUAUAUCAAAACAAUCUCCGAUAAAUAGAUUCUCUAGCGAUUGUUGAAUUCAUCGUUGAUAGCCUCUGUAAUUCCAUCAAGUUUGGUAAGUACAUCUCAUUCUAAAGUUAGGAACCCAAAUUUCGUAGAAUUUCUAUCCUAUACUAAUCUUUCAAAUCAAUUAAUCAAUCUUUUAUGGUUUUUGGCAAAUCUUUCGUUAAAACCAUUGAGUCUUGAUAAAUCUUGGAAAUCAAGCGUUAAUCGUGUGAAAUUAUCAUUUGAAAGACCCAUUUUAGGUGCAUCGGACUAGAUUUAAGCGCGAGGAACGUCGGUCGAAAUCUCGGUGAAAGGUAUGUAUUUUUUUACAAGUGAAUUGGGGCAAAAUUUUUGUUAGGUUAAGCCCACACGGUCUGUCACAUGGGCGUGUGGACCACAUGGCCCCUUACACAGCCAUGUCCUUUUGAAAACCUAGGAUAGUUCGAAUCUCACAUGGUAAAGAACCAUCCACACAGCCUAGCACACAGUCAUAUCUCCCCUAUAGGUUGAUUUUGCAAUUUCCAUACAGCCUCAGUCUAUUACAUGGUCAUAUAACCCCUCUACACGGUCUAUAGAAUCCCACACAACUGUGUGCCCCCGUUUUUUUUCAAAUUUUAUAGUUUUUUCCCAAAAUUUUAUGAUUUGUUCAGUUUAGUCCCUAAAUCGUUACUGAACUAUUUUAGUGUCUUAAAUUAUUCCAUUAAGUCUUUAAUGAUAUGAAUAAUGUUGGAAUCCAUAAUUUGAUUGACUGAAUUAAUAUUAUAUAUAUUUGAUUGAAUUGUGAUUAAUACAUAUGUUUAUUUGUAUUUGAGAUCGUACGUUCAAUAUACCUUAUAUUACUAUGAAACGCAACACAUGAUAAGCAUGCUUUUGGCUACUAUAUCGAACUAUUAUAAGCCUAAUAUUUUCCACUGUAUAGUACUAUUAUAGGCAUAAUGACUGCUACCAUAUUGUUCUGUUAAAAGCCCAUUAAAUACUACAGUAUUGAUAUGUUUUAAGUAUGCCAUAUUGCAUUGUAUGGGAUUGGACGUUAUGAACAGAGGAAGUAUUGUCAAUUUAUCUGCAUUAUUUUGCAGUGUACCCACAGCCAUAGGCAUAUUCGAUCUGCGACGGUCUUGUUGUGUACCCACAGCCAUAGGUAGAUCCCAUCUGUUACAUUUUUACUGUUCAUCCACAACCUCGUGAUAGUUAUUACCUACAAACAUAUUGUGCAUCGAUAGCCAAAGACAAAUUUUACCUGCAUUAUUUUGUUGUGUAUCCAUAGCCAUAGGCAGAUUCCAUUUGCGGUGCUUUGCUGUGUGUCCACAGCCAUUGACAGUUAUUUUGUAAACCAUUGAUUGUUAAACCACAAUUCGGUGUGUUGGUGGUUGGAGUUCAAAAGAGCUCCCAUUGUGGUGUGUACCAGUGGGGUAUGAUGUUUUCUAUUAAAACCAAAACGAUAUGACAUCCACAAAAACAUGUGCAUACAACUAUGAAAUUUCUGAUAUGACAUAUAUAUGUAUAUUGUUGAAUGAUUUGAAACAUCGAUAUUAUGAUAUUGCCACUGUAAAUCAUUUCUAUGUGACAUAUUUUCGUAUGCUUAAUCAUUUACACUAAUUAUCUUGUAACUAAAUUCACAUUGAAUGUCAUAGGUCACUCCCCCAUUUAGUUCCAUCCUUACAGAUAACCCACCAGGUUAGAAUGUGAAGGCGGCAACCGGAGGGUCUCGGCUCGGUUUUUAGUAAAAAUAUUUUAGAAUUAUUAAUUGAUCUUUUCAUUAUUUAGAGAUUGUUUUAUUUUAUUUUGAACUGUGACAUGAAACUUAGAAUUUGUUUUCUUUUGGCAUGCAUAACAAUUAAUUUGAUUUACGGAUAUCGAAAUAUCAAUAUUAAUUAGUUGUGCAUGAACUUCGGUUUUAUUAAGAAUACAAACAAUUAUCAGUUUUCUACUAUUAAAUUAUAAUUAAGAAUUUUGAGUAGUAAAUAAACUAGUAAUAUUAACUAAGUUUUCUUCCAAAGUUAAACAAAUAUUUUAAAAUGACUGUUUUCAAAACUCUAAUAGCUUACGGUAAAAGUAAUUUUAUAUAAAAAAAAUUAUGCAUAUAUAUAAGUAUUUAGUUAAUUUUUAGUUCAUCACUAAUAAAAAAUAACAUCAAUAGAAAAGAAAUUAAUAAUAUGAAUUAAGAACAACAUAUAUAAGUUUUCAUAUAAAAAAUUCUCUUACUUAUCAUACAAAAUAAGAUUAUAAUUAGAUGAUGUUUUACCAAAAAAUGUGAAAUAAAAUCAAAUAAAAUAAAAACCAAAAUCAACUCAUAAUAAAUAAAAUAAUCACACUAAUGCAUAAGGGACCAUCAAAAUAUGACCAAAGACUUUGGGAUUUGAAGCCAUUGUUGAGAAAGUAAGGAAGGUCGUUUUGAAAGAGUAAAUAAGAUCUGUAAAAAAUCAAAUUAUCUAUGCUCAAAUCAUCUUAUUUAUAUACAAGUUGAAGAUUUUUAGGAUUAAGAUUUAAAAUCCCAAGUAAUGAAUGAUUUAUGAAAUUAAAUAAAAAUUUUGAAUUUGAAAACAACUAUCAUUUAAUUAUAAUUAAUUCAAAUAUAUUGAUUUUAUUUGCAUAUUUACCCUUUUCAAAUAUAAUUAAAGUCUAUAUAAAAUUAUAUUCAGAAGAAUAAAAAUGUUUUAUUUUCCAAAUAUAAUGAAUCGAAUUAAUUAAAAUAUACCUUGUAAUUAACACUGAUUUAGAGCAUUAUUAAAUAAAUAACUUGUAUUGAGACCGCCUUUUAGCAUAUUUUCGUCUACUUUCUAGCACGUUUUCGUUUUUUUCUCUUUAGUUCUCUGUUAUGCUUUUUUCCCUAAUAUUCUAGUCAAACAAUAUCCUGUUUCUGUUUAUGAUUUUAAGUUCUAAGAGAGUUGGCUACUUUUCGAGGUUUGUUAAUGGAAAUGAGUUUGGAGAACUUGAGUAUUGAUGAAGGGGAAUACGAAGUGUGGGUGGUUGCUUGGGAUGAAGAUGCUUAGAAACCUAUCUAUGAAUUCUGUCUUGUGGGAUGCUUUUUGACGACUAGUGUGGUGCAUUUUCCAGCAAUGAGAAACACUAUGGCAAAUCUAUGACAUUCUUUUGGUUGGGUGCAGAUCGCAGAUCUUGGAGAAAAGAUAUUCUUAUUUUAGUUUUUCAAUGAGAUAGAUAUUGCAAGAGCGGAGAAUGGAGCACCAUGGAUGUUUAACAAUCAUUUAUUAAUUAGUCAUCGGCUGAUGGAAGAGGAUGAUCCGAUGUUAGUCCCAAUGAUACAUGACAAUUUUUGGGUCCAAGUGCAUGACUUGCCUCCAGGUCUUUUUUCAGAAUUAGUAGCAAAAUAGUUCAAAAAUUUUAUUGGAAAAUUUUUCGAUUACGAUACUAAACAAUUGAACAAGGGAAUGGGGAAUUUCUUAAGAAUUUGAGUCCAGUUGGAUGUGCGAAAGCCGUUGAAAAGGAGAAAAAAAAUUGAUGAUUUCAUCUUCAAAGUCCAUUUAUGCCAAUUUCAGGUAUGAAAAAUUAACUCUGUUUUGCUUAAUGUCUGGUGUUUUGGGACAUGGUGAUAGUAUUUGUCUAGUAAAUAUUCAUCAUAUGGGGAAGAAAAUCGAAAUAGGAUGGGAUCUAUGAUUGAGGGCAGAACCAAGGAGUGCGAUGAGCACAAACAAUAUCUGGCUAAUGGAGGAAUGUGAGUUUAGAUUUUUGGGAAAUAAUUUGGGUGGGUGAAAUUUGGGGCAAAAUCUAGGUGAUGAUUUGCUGCAUAAUUUUCAAAAUCAAAUUAAUCCUAUUUUAAGAUUUAAUUUGAAAGGAAAAUCUUUCAGGCAUAAUUCGAAUGAAGGACUCUCAAACAUAGAGGCCUAAAAGGUAAUGGAUCAAGAACAAGAAGAAAAUCCAUUAGAGUUUAUGGAAGGAAAAAAAGGCCUCACUCUAAGGUAAGGCGUUCAAAUGGGCUGAAUGUUCCAGUCCAGAUUGGGGAUUCCAAUAUAAUUGGCAAUGACAAAUCUCAACUGAUAUUAGCAGCUACCAGCUGGUAGGCCUACUAGACGUCAUGAAGCUGUUAUGUUUGAAUGUUCUCGAUUUGGGGAAUCCGCGGGCAGUUUGAAGACUUUAGCAUUGGCUGAAAUUUUAUAAUCCCCAACUUGUCUUCUUUAUGGAGACAAAACUUGAUUGAAAGAGGAUAAAAAAGUAAGAAACAAUUGUGGUUAUUUCUACGAAAUUGACGCAUCGACUAAGGGCACGAGAGGUGGCUUAUGUUUCGGAUAGAAAGAGGGUUGUUCGAUUUCCCGUUAAAGCUUCUCAAAAAACCACAUUGAUGUUGUUAGACAAGAAAUCUCAGCUAGUCAGGAGUGGCAUUUUACGGGCUUUUAUGGUGCACCAAAUAAUAGGAAUAGGGUGGAAACUGUUAGAGUAUGCCCAAAGAUCAAUCAUGAGAUGGUUGUAAUAACAUACUUGAUUUAUCAUGUUUAUUAAUAUAAGGCGUUACAAUUAUUAUUUCAGUUUUUUUUCUGUGUAUAUAAAUAAACUAUUUUAUAAUAAUGUCCUGAAAAUAAUAUGAUUAUUCUUAAAAGUUCCUUAGUCAAGUAUUAUUAUUGGAUAGGACAACGAUAAUGCAUUAAGACUAACAUGUAGUUUAUUGAUGAUAAAGAGUUGUCAUUGAUAUGGAAUGUCAGAAUCAUUACAUGAAUAUGUGUGUUAAAGAACAACAUAUUGGACUGACCCGUUAUGAGUAUGUUUCUUGGAUUAUUAUGUAAUUGUCACGACAUUACUCAUAAUGAUUAAUAUUUAUAUGAUCCUCAGACUAGAGAUCAUCAUAAUCCCAACAUCAUGAGUUGUAUAUUUUGAUACAGUCAAACGUACACCGUAACUGGUUGUUCUAUAAAGACUGAUGUUGGAUAUACCACAAUCUAUGUAGAGAGAUAUGGUUAGUCGAUAUAGGAUAAGUCCCUCUUACAUAAUAGGAGUAAUAUCUUAGGCCACUUGAUUAAGUAAGACUAGAAAUGCAUGGCCAUGCUCAAAUAAGUUGAUAUUAGAUGUUAUACUUAUUUGUAUAUCGUAGUCUGCUUAAGAUAUCAAAGAACAUAGAAUGGACAAUGCAUGUGUGACUAUUCCAUGACUUGUGUCCAAUCCAGAGAUAAAGGACUUAAGGAUUAUUGCAUAAAAGGUUAAUCAUAAAAAAAAUGUUAUGUCGAAUCAUGAUCUCUUGUGACUUAGGUAGCAAUGAUGCAUUGCUAGAUGCCACUCAUUGUUUGUAGCAUUAGAAUCAUUCUAGUGUUACUGCUAAUGUUACAGGAACCUACAGGGUCACACACUAUAGUUGAAAUGAACGGAAUAAACCAUAGUUGGUAUUAUUUUUGGGGUCGCUUGAAUUAAAUUAAUUAUAGAAUUAAUUUAAUUCGAUAAUCAAAUUUCCAACACAUUAUAUACAAGGUUGUACGUAUAGUGAGGACAUGAAUUUGGUUAGCAUAAGAAUUCAAAUAAAUAUAUGGUUUACCGAACUUAUAUUAUCAUUAAUGUAAUUAUAAUUUUCGGUUUAAAAUAUUAUUAUAUUUAUUUAAUUCCUAAAAACCCUAAAACAAAAGGAUAUAUAUAAUCCCGUUUUUCUUUGUUUGAGCCUAACAGCCGUCAAAGAAAAAUAACUCUCAAAACUGUUUUGGGGAUUCCUUCCGUUCGUAGUCAACUGGGUGGAUUACGUAGACCCCAGAAUCACGAUUGAUUGCGGCUUGGUUCGACAGCAGAUCAGACUACUCGUUAUUGAGGUGUUGCUGUCUACUCUGAAUAAACAUUAGGUAAUUUCGUAACCUUGAUCACCCCGAUUCGUUCCUCACACAUGAAUCCAUGGUUAGGGUCGCCGAUUUUAUUUUUUCGCUACGCCGUAGGGGUGCCGGCGAUCCAACAGAAACAUGGACUCUUUUAAAAAAAUUGAAAACUUAAAAUUUCCCUUACCUUGUUAGUGGUGAUUUUAAGAAAAUUUUGUUUGAUUACGAGAAGAAAGGGGGUAUUCCUAGAGAUGAAGGGAAAAUGAAAGAAUUCAAGAAGGCGUUGUUUGAGUUUGGUUUGGAGGAUAUUGGUUAUACAAGCCCAUGGUUUACCUAGGAACGUGAAAACUUACUAGAAACCAAUAUCAGAGAAAGACUUGAUCGGGAUGUUGCUAAUGAGGAGUGGAUUCAGAAUCAUUUGAAAAUUUUCUCUAAGGCAUCUUACUUAUUCAUUUCAUUUUUUGAGCAUUGCCCUUUAUUCAUUCAAAUAGAUCAAGAGGAAAAUAGAAGAGUAAAAAAUCAAUUUAGAUUCGAAGCAUGGUGGUGCAUGGGAGAGUAAUGUGAGAUAAAAAUUAAGAAGUUAUGAGAAUCUAGCUCUGGAGAGCUAAUUGAUAAAUUGGGGUAUAUAAGGCCAUAUUUGAAGGUGUGGUUCGAAGGAAUAAAAACUAAAAAGAGGAAGGUAACGAAGAGGCUGAGGAAAAAACUGGAGGAAUUGGAUUGUCAGGAAAGAACAGAUGAUGUGAUGGCAGAAAUAAUCGAUGUCAAAUUGCAUCUUAAUAUGAAGGCUGAUCAAGAAGAAAGUUAUCGGGAGCAAAGACUGAAAGAAAAGUGGUUAAAAUUGAGUGAUAAAAAAUACCUCUUUUUUCCAUAAUUUUGGUACACAAAGGUGUUGACAAAAUCAAAUUAAUGGGUUGUAAAACGAGGGUGGAAUUUUAGUCACUGAAGGGGGGAUAUGGAAAGGGUUGCUCGAGAUUAUUUUUCUGAAAUUUUUGCGAGUAGAGGAGAAAACAAUUCUGAUAAACUUUUAGUAGAAGUUCAAACUUGUAUUAUUGAUGAUACAAAUAGAGAAUUGACAACUGAAUACAAAUGAGAGGAAAUUUUUGAAGCUUUGAAGACAAUGGGCCUAACUAAAGCAUCGGGAGAGGAUGGAUUCCCAGCUUUAUUCUUUUAAAAGUACUGACACAUUAUGGGAAGGGAUAUUUUCUAGUUCUACCUCAAUAUUUUGAACAAAGGUAAAUAUUUAGAACCUUUGAAUAAAACAAAUAUUGUUUUAAUCCCAAAAGUGAAUCAUCCUACUAACCUAAAAAAGUUCAGACCAAUAAGCUUAUGUACGGUGCUUUAUAAAAUUAUUGCGAAGACAAUUGCAAAUAGAUGACAAAAGACUCUAGAAAGAUGCAUUGAUGAGGCUCAGAGUGCUUUUGUGCCCGACAGACUAAUCAUAGAUAAUUUACUCAUGGCUUGCGAAGUUUUACAUGUUUUUAGAAAAAGGAGGACAGGGAAGAAAUGAUGCUUGGCUCUAAAAUUGGAUAUGAUAAAGGCCUAGGAUCGUGUGGAGUGGCACUUUUUUGAAAAAAUGAUGCUGAAAAUAGGCUUUGCGGUAUCUUGGGUACAGUUUGUAAUGCACUGUAUUAACUCUAUUUCGUAUUCUAUCAUCUUUAACGGUGAAUCUGGUGAUAUCUUUAGGCCAAAUAGAGGGCUGAGACAGGGUGACCCAUUGAGCCCAUACUUAUUUAUUUUUUGUAGUAAAGGCUUUUUAACUUUGAUGAGAAGGGCCUUACAUCUAGGUCAUGUUAAGGGAGUGAAGGUGUGUAGGAAGGGUCCGUAGAUAACUCAUUUGACGUUCGCGGAUAACUAUAUAUUGUUUGGAUAGGCAACUUCUAGAGGGGCUAAUGUUAUAAAGAAUAUUUUGCAGGAAUAUGAAGAAAAUUCUGGGCAAUGCAUAAACUUUGACAAGUCUACUGUGUUUUUCAGUUCUAAUGUUUCUACUAGGGACAAGUGGGAAAUUUCGCAAAUACUAAAAUUCAAAGUAUCAGAGUAUCCAUAAAAAUAUUUGGGUCUACCAAAUAUGGUGGGAAGAGGAAAAAAAAUAGGCUUUUCAACCUUUGAAGGACAAGAUGCUGAAGAAGUUAAGUGGAUGGAGAAACAAGUACCUUCCAUAAGGAGGAAAAAAGGUAUUCAUCAAAUCUAUUUUACAAGCAAUCCCUACAUCCUCUAUGUUAUGUUUUUUUGUUACCAAGUUCAUUAUGUGCUGAGUUAGAGAGUAUCAUUGCGAAUUUCUGGUUGCAAAAAAGUUGUACUAAGAAGGGAAUUCACUAGUGUGAAUGGAAGCAUAUGUGUGAAUUAAAAGGGCAGGGGGAAUAGGCUUUCGGAAGUUGUCAAAGUUCAAUUUAGCCUUGUUAGCGAAAAAAAGGUAGAGAAUGCUUAACUAUCCAAAUUACUUACUUGUUAAUCAUUGAAAGCAAAAUAUUUCCAUAACACAAAUUUUCUAAACUCAAGUUUAGAAAGUUCAUCUUUCGUAUACCUGACGAAGUAUAUGGGGCACAAAGGGUCUGUUGGCUUCGAGGCUAUGAUGGGAAGUAGGAAAUAGAACAAAUGUUUCGAUUUAGAAUGAUUAUUGGAUACCUGAGAGGGGCAAAAUUGCAUAUCAAUAUCUUGUUUGGAAAGAGGAGGCCUCUAGUGAGUAUUCAGUGAGAAGUGCCUAUCACAAGAUGAAUAGGGGCAACUUCUAAUGACCCUUUACUUUACAAAAAAAUUUGGUUGCUGGAUUUUCCCAACAAAAUUAAAAUCAAAAUUUGGAGAAUUAUUAAAAAUUUCCUGCCUACUUUUGCUAAUCUACAUUGCAGGUGGUGUGGAAAAGGUGGAACAUAUUUUCAAAUACUAUAAAAAAUCAAUUAAAAUUUGGAAGUUAAUGAAUUUUAGAUGGCCAACGAUGUUACCUAAUUCAAACAUCAAUGAUUGGAUGACCCAAUUCUUUUACAACCAUUCCAAUCAGCUUGGCAGAGUUUUUGGAUGUGCGCUUUGGGCAACUUGGACAGACAGGAAACAUUUCUUACAUGAAGAUAAACAGAGGCCAACAUUAGAAUAGUUAAUUUCAUUAGUUCUUAUAUUCAAGAACUGGAUGGAAUAAACAAGAGAGCAGCAUAAAUACCAUAGAGGAUACAAAGUGGAAGGCUUCGAUGCACAGACUACAAAGAUUAAAUUUGAUGUAGCUUACUACCAGGAAGAGAACAAAUCAAGUUCAGGCAUUAUCAUCAGAGACACAACUGGUGAAGUUCUACAUUCAAAAGUUCCAUUGCAUGUAAACAUACCGACUUCCUUUGCAGCCGAAGCUGUGGCGUGUAUGAAGGCAGUGGAAUUGGGAUAGUAUGUGGGUCUUUUAGUGGUGGAGGUUGAAAGUGAUGCUUUAACGGUGAUUAGAAAGAUGCAAAAAGACAUAAAUGAUAGAUCAAAAAUCGGGGCUUAAAUUUUCAAUAUCAGAUCUAUGAGCAAAAGAUUCGAAAAAUGUACCUUUAAACAUGCAUUAAGACAGGAGAAUAAAGCAACCCAUGUUAUGGCUAUAGAAGGUCUCAAAAGACAAGAAGAAUUUUACCUGAGAAAUGUAGUUCCUGAUUAUGCAGAACAAUCUGUGGUAUUUGAUAAACAAUGGUUAGGGCUUUCAGCGAAUAGAUGAUCAAUGACCUGAUUCAAAGGAGUUUCUGGAAAGACACACAAAGCUAUCAAACUGGAAAACGGGGGUUCUUGAGAACUUGCUGCUUCAGAUCCUUGGAUAAGAAGAGUGUCGAUUCAUGUGACUGGAUUCCUUUUCUGAUUAGGGUUUUAUUUAUGAUUUUUUUUGUUUUUUUACUUCAUUUAUUUGGUUGUCAUUCGGCUUUUUUGUUUUAGUCGUUUCUUUCUGUUU
rnacentral:lncRNA from 1 species